AUACGUGCUAAUUUUUUUUUUAGCGUCAGAAUAUACAGAAGUUGUGUACCAGUAAGCGGUUCUUGCUCUUUUAAUUGGACAUUCUAACAUAGCUCGAUUUGAUUUCCAGUUAAACGAGACCUUCUGUUCUGUACUGUAGUCCAACUCGUGACGUUGAAAUGCCAUGUUCUAGAACAACGUUUUGCCUGAACCAGUUUUCUCGUCGUGUUAUCAAACCAUGGAAUGAAUUACCACAGUAUGUUGUAGAUGCUAAAACUGUAAUUGACUUCAAAAUAAGAUUAGAUAAGCACUGGCAGGGAGAAACUCCAUACAAAUUAAGACACUAAAACACUGGGCUGUAAAUUGAUUUUACAGCGAUAAUGACAAUAUAAUUAGAUCUGUCACCAUUUUAAUGAAUAAACUGUGAAGAAACAAAUUGAGCCGUACAGCAGCAAUUCCAUAAGAAGAGGGGCUUAAAAAGGGUUUUACACCCUUCCACCAGAGCCCAGAAUCAUCCUACAGUGUGAAGUAGCAACAAAAGCAGAAUGUCUACUGACUAUAAUGAACUUCAGUAAUCUAGAUGCAUGCCUUUGUUCUACAUGAUGUAUGAGGAAUAUAUAGUGGAUUUUUGGAUUUCACAGCAGUCAUGGAACAUGUUUAAAUUAAAUGCUGCUGCUGCGAGAAACCAAGAAAUUCCUAUUGUUGUGUGCAUAGGUAUGUGUCAUGGAGUGUCAUGGAAAAAGGAUAUGGAAAAUACAGGGAUAAGGAUGUGUCCUGGAAUGUAGCUGAAGUCUGUUAUACCAGUACAGAUAUAACUGUUGAUGGAUAACUGUUGAUAUCCUUAACAUGGGCGAUCGCCACGAUCAUCGUUACAGUCGGACUGUAAUGAAGUGUGUCCCCUACCGACCAUUGUCCCACACAAUCACGGGACUGGAAAGCUAUGACUAUUACGAAAUGUGUGUAAUGGCUACCAGUCGGACACUUUCAUUGUCAUGCAGUAAACUAAUGAAGAUACAAUAUGGUGAAUGAUAGUUGCCACAAGGCCACCAAAAGACACAGUGAUCCAGAGAGAAAGUGACUCAGAGGUUCUUAUUAAAUGGUUUACUCCGAAAAGAAGAGAUAAUUGGAUACCAGGAAUGGCAGUGUUGCAAGAAGAGGUUAUGGUGUUAAAGAUGGGAACUUUCAGGAUACUUAUGAUUCAGGUUUACCACCUGUCAGUACAAUACAUUAUUACAGCAGUCACAACAUGAGAGCAGUGUUAACCAGUCUGACACCAUGUAUAAUAUGGCUUACUGCCCGGAAAUGAAGACCUUCUACCAACAAUCAGGUCCUGUACCCCUUAUGCCACUGCAGCCCUGCUACAGGUCCAGGCUUAAGGACAGAAUGCAAGAAAACAGAUUCCAUGGUAGCUAACUGACAGAGCCAGGAGGACUGCAGUGAAUUUCAUUCAAGUUCAAAUAAUGUGUAUGAGGUAGGAAACAACCAGUUUUUAAAUGAGGGAGAUUUUGCUAAUGCUGUUAUUAGGGCUGCUGAGCUGUCUGGCCUGACUGUUGUGGAUACAACAGUCAGUGUUUCAAACCCUUAACAAGUAGUGACCAUCCGCUUGGACCUGCUUCCCAAGGAAAUUUUUACGAAGUCAUUGACUAUCAACAUGACAUGGAGACAGAAUGCCCUGAUCAAACCAAGUUUCCGGCCACUUUCUGGCAACCAAUGAAAGAGCUGAGAAUACCGUCGGGAGUUGCCAGCACUUGUACCAUCAGUGUUGAGUCUUCCACAAAAUAACACAGACUUUGAGCAUUGCUUCUCUCAGGUCAGAAAAAUGCAGUGAGAUAACAGAAGUAACUUAUCAAUAAACUAUUUCCUGUCUAUCAGUAAUAAAUGGACAGUUGCUGAAUGUUACCAUGGAUCUACAGAAAGCUGGUGGACAGUCAUGGAUCUGCUGAAAUCUGGAGGGCAGUUACUGAAUGUUACCAUGGAUUUGCUGAAAGCUGGUGGACAGUUACUGAAUAUUACCAUGGAUCUGCUGAAAGCUGGUGGGCAGUUAAUGAAUGUUACCAUGGAUCUGUUGAAAGCUGGUGGACAGUUACUGAAUGUUACCAAGGAUCUGCUGAAAGCUGGUGGGCAGUUAAUGAAUGUUACCAAGGAUCUGCUGAAAGCUGGUGGACAGUAAUGUUACUGAAUGUUACCAUCGAUCUGCUGAAAGCUGGUGGACAGUCAUGGAUCAGCUGAAAUCUGGAGGGCAGUUACUGAAUGUUACCAUGGAUCUGCUGAAAGCUGGUGGACAGUUACUGAAUAUUACCAUGGAUCUGCUGAAAGCUGGUGGACAGUUAAUGAAUGUUACCAUGGAUCUGUUGAAAGCUGGUGGACAGUUACUGAAUGUUACCAAGGAUCUGCUGAAAGCUGGUGGACAGUAAUGUUACUGAAUGUUACCAGGGAUCUACUGAAAGCUGGUGGACAGUAAUGUUACUGAAUGAUACCAGGGAUCUACAGUUACUGAAUGUUACCAGGGAUCUGUGGAAAGUUACUGAAGGUUACUUUGGAUCUGCUGAAAGCUGGUGGACAGUUACUGAAUGUUACCAAGCAUCUGCUAAAAGCUGGUGGACAGUUACUGAAUGUUACCAGGGAACUGCAAAAAGCUGGUGGACAGUUACUGAAUGUUACCAGGGAUCUGCUGAAAGCUGGUGGACAGUUACUGAAUGUUACCAUGGAUCUGCUGAAAGCUGAUGGACAGUUACUGAAUAUUACCAAGCAUCUGCUGAAAGCUGGUGGACAGUUACUGAAUGUUUUCAGGGAUCUGCUUAAUGCUAUAAAGAUACAUAGAGGAAUAUUAAAGGUAGUUAACAUGACAUUAAAGAAUGUUCAGUUGUUACAGUGAAAUAGAUCUUAAAAAUAUUAAAAUCAAGUACAAAUUUGAUGGUUCAAUAUAUACAUUAAAACUAAUACUGAAUGUGACAUUUAAUUUAAAGGAUGUUCAUAUGUGCCAGAGAUAUAGACAUACAACAUAUCAAAUACAAAAAUGAUAGUUUUAUAAUUAAGAUAUUGAAAAGAUAAA
rnacentral:lncRNA from 1 species